GUGUCGGUAGCUCAGUUGGCAGAGCGAUGAGCUAGUGAUCCAGAAUCGCGAGUUCGAGUCUCGCCCGAGACU